rnacentral:lncRNA from 1 species
AAAAAAAAAGAAAAAAGAAUUCUUUGAAUAAUGGAACUAUGUCUGAGUUUCAGAUGUAGAAGUUGUUCAAGGUCAGUUACACUUCUUCAUUGGCAAGGCAGUUUGGUCCUUUUUAACCACCAGUUUUAAUAUUUUGCAAAGCUUUAUACACUACAAGUUUUUUUUUUUUUUUUUUUUUUUUUUUAAACACACGUUCUGCAAGGAAAAUCAAAUGGUUGAACAGAGCCCACUCUAUGUAAUGGCUUCCAGGUGUGGUCACAACCACAAAUGAUCUGGUCAAGAGUAGCAGCCAUUUACUCCUGAGAAGCAGUGCCUGGCCUUGUGUACUCCUAGUUCAUUGCAGAGAGGAAAUAUAACAGUAUUUAAUCAUGUUGGGAACAUGCCUGUUACCCAUUGCCACCUCUUAGCUGAGACUGGUAGCGUUCCAGGGGAAGGUCAGCGGUUUUCUUGAGGAAUGCUACCUCCGGAGACAAAUCAUCUCCUUUUCCUGGGUGGUGGAAGGAUGCUUUGGUGCAGAGAAGUGUGUUGCUGACCAGACCUCCUCCAGAAUCUGACCGGCAUCCCAGAGGUUGUCUCGGGAUGUUGGUCCAGUGUGCGAGGCAGAAUUAUUUUCUAAAUGAAAAAAGCAUUUCUUCAAGUGAGAUAUUGACCAGCUAUUGGCAGCUAGUAUCUAAAAUUAUCCCUAUACAGUGGACACAAGUGAAAACGCA